rnacentral:rRNA from 1 species
UCCACGCCGUAAACGAUGGACACUCGCUAUCGGCGAUAUACUGUCGGUGGCUAAGCGAAAGUGAUAAGUGUCCCACCUGGGGAGUACGAUCGCAAGGUUGAAACUCAAAGGAAUUGACGGGGGCCCGCACAAGCGGUGGAGCAUGUGGUUUAAUUCGAUGAUACGCGAGGAACCUUACCAGGGCUUAAAUGCAUUUUGACAGUCCCCGAAAGGGG